GUCAUAGCUCAGUGGUAGAGCACUUCCUUGGUAAGGAAGAGGUCCCGGGUUCAAGUCCCGGUG
rnacentral:tRNA from 3 species